CCUACGGGAGGCAGCAGUGGGGAAUAUUGGGCAAUGGGCGCAAGCCUGACCCAGCAACGCCGCGUGAAGGAAGAAGGCUUUCGGGUUGUAAACUUCUUUUAAGAGGGAAGUGCAGAAGACGGUACCUCUUGAAUAAGCCACGGCUAACUACGUGCCAGCAGCAGCGGUAAUACGUAGGUGGCAAGCGUUGUCCGGAUUUACUGGGUGUAAAGGGCGUGCAGCCGGGAAAGCAAGUCAGAGGUGAAAACCAUGGGCUCAACCUGUGGCCUGCAUUUGAAACUGUUUUUCUUGAGUACUGGAGAGGCAGGCGGAAUUCGUAGUGUAGCGGUGAAAUGCGUAGAUAUUAGGAGGAACACCAGUGGCGAAGGCGGUCUGCUGGAC
rnacentral:rRNA from 1 species